rnacentral:rRNA from 1 species
CCUACGGGAGGCAGCAGUGGGGAAUAUUGGGCAAUGGGCGCAAGCCUGACCCAGCAACGCCGCGUGAAGGAAGAAGGCUCUCGGGUUGUAAACUUCUUUUCUCAGGGACGCAGCAUGUGCCGGUACCUGAGGAAUAUGCCACGGCUAACUACGUGCCAGCAGCCGCGGUAAUACGUCGGUGGCCAGCGUUAUCCGGAUUUACUGGGUGUAAAGGGCGUGUAGGCGGGGACGCAAGUCAGAUGUGACAACCGCGGGCUCAACCUGUGGCCUGCAUUUGAUACUGGGUUUCGUGAGUACUGGAGAGGCAGGCGGAAGUCCUAGUGUAGCGGUGAAAUGCGUAGAUAUUAGGAGGAACACCAGUGGCGAAGGCGGGCUGCUGGACAGCAACUGACGCUGAGGUGCGAAAGCGUGGGUAGCAAACAGGAUUAGAUACCCUAGUAGUC